rnacentral:rRNA from 1 species
UACGAAGGGUGCAAACGUUGCUCGGAAUCACUGGGCGUAAAGCGCACGUAGGCGGCUUCUUAAGUCAGGGGUGAAAUCCUGGAGCUCAACUCCAGAACUGCCUUUGAUACUGAGGAGCUUGAGUCCGGGAGAGGUGAGUGGAACUGCGAGUGUAGAGGUGAAAUUCGUAGAUAUUCGCAAGAACACCAGUGGCGAAGGCGGCUCACUGGCCCGGUACUGACGCUGAGGUGCGAAAGCGUGGGGAGCAAACAGG